UACAGAGGGUGCAAGCGUUGUUCGGAAUCAUUGGGCGUAAAGGGCGCGUAGGUGGUUCUGUAUGUCUACCGUGAAAGCGUACGGCUCAACCGUAUUUUGUCGGUGGAAACUGCAGGACUUGAGGCUGGGAGGGGCUGGUGGAAUUCCCUGUGUAGCGGUGAAAUGCGUAGAGAUGGGGGAGAACACUCGUGGCGAAGGCGGCCAGCUAGACCAGUUCUGACACUGAGGCGCGACAGCGUGGGGAGCAAAGCAGG
rnacentral:rRNA from 1 species